rnacentral:rRNA from 1 species
ACGGACGCUGGCGGCGUGCUUAACACAUGCAAGUCGAACGGAAAGGCCCUGCUUUUGUGGGGUGCUCGAGUGGCGAACGGGUGAGUAACACGUGAGUAACCUGCCCUUGACUUUGGGAUAACUUCAGGAAACUGGGGCUAAUACCGGAUAGGAGCUCCUGCUGCAUGGUGGGGGUUGGAAAGUUUCGGCGGUUGGGGGUGGACUCGCGGCUUAUCAGCUUGUUGGUGGGGUAGUGGCUUACCAAGGCUUUGACGGGUAGCCGGCCUGAGAGGGUGACCGGCCACAUUGGGACUGAGAUACGGCCCAGACUCCUACGGGAGGCAGCAGUGGGGAAUAUUGCACAAUGGGCGGAAGCCUGAUGCAGCAACGCCGCGUGCGGGAUGACGGCCUUCGGGUUGUAAACCGCUUUCGCCUGUGACGAAGCGUGAGUGACGGUAAUGGGUAAAGAAGCACCGGCUAACUACGUG